rnacentral:rRNA from 1 species
UACGUAGGGGGCAAGCGUUGUCCGGAAUCAUUGGGCGUAAAGCGCGUGUAGGCGGCCUUGUAAGUCUGUUCUGAAAGUCCGGGGCUCAACCCCGGGAGGCGGAUGGAUACUGCAAGGCUCGAGUACGGAAGAGGCGAGUGGAAUUCCCGGUGUAGCGGUGAAAUGCGCAGAUAUCGGGAGGAACACCAAUGGCGAAGGCAGCUCGCUGGGACGUUACUGACGCUGAGACGCGAAAGCGUGGGGAGCAACAGG